AUUGAACGCUGGCGGCAUGCCUUACACAUGCAAGUCGAACGGCAGCACGGGGCAACCUGGUGGCGAGUGGCGAACGGGUGAGUAAUGCAUCGGAACGUGCCAUUGAGUGGGGGAUAACGUAGCGAAAGUUGCGCUAAUACCGCAUAUUCUGUGAGCAGGAAAGCAGGGGACCGCAAGGCCUUGCGCUCUUUGAGCGGCCGAUGUCAGAUUAGCUAGUUGGUGAGGUAACGGCUUACCAAGGCGACGAUCUGUAGCGGGUCUGAGAGGAUGAUCCGCCACACUGGAACUGAGACACGGUCCAGACUCCUACGGGAGGCAGCAGUGGGGAAUUUUGGACAAUGGGCGAAAGCCUGAUCCAGCCAUGCCGCGUGAGUGAAGAAGGCC
rnacentral:rRNA from 1 species